ACUAGACAUGUAUUAUAUACAGGGUUUAGAUUUUCCCGUCAAAAAACACAUUUUUCCCAGGGCAUGUGGGAUAAAUGGGAUAAAGUGGUUUUUACCGUCCAAACGUGUUGAAAAUUGGCAAUUUAUUUAGUUAUGGAAAAACUUAAUUUCCUUAAAAAUCAAUAUUUCUGGAAUACAACUUCUUAUUCGUGGUUGACCGGAACACUCAUGAAUACUGCCCAUAUUUCAAUUCUUACAUUUCAACAAUGCUAAUUUUAAGAUUCUUUAAUUCAAAUCGUGGCACCCACUCAUUUUCUCAGGAUUUCGUGGAGAACACGAAUAUGAUUUUCAAAAUAUUAGCUUUCAGAUAACUUUUUUUCAAAUCUAUGCAAUAUCCCACCUUUUCCCACCGACUGUGGGUUUUGAACGAAAAAGUGCAUUUAUCCCACUUUUUCUCUCUACCCUGGGAAAUCUGGUUUUUAGCCCGAGCCAGGGCUUAUCGAACCGUCAUGUCCGUCUGUCUGUCUGUGACGGUCCAGCGGAUGAACAACUGGACCGAUUUUGACCAACUCGAUCUUAAAAUGGGUAUCUCGGCCAGGUCGAGGCUAAGUUCGAAGAUGGGUUCGAUCAAAAAAGAUUUGGACCGGUGGGGGUCAGAUUAGUGAUGUUGAGGGGUUGGUGCAGAAUAUUCGGUUUGAUUUAUUAUGCACCAAACCUUAAUAGUUAUCUUAGAAAGCUCAAAUUUGGUAUGGAUGACCCUAAAGGUAUCUAGUGAAAUAUUUUCAUGUCACAUUGCAAAAAUUUUCAUCUUGAGGGACCCUAGUGGGUCACCCACCCCGAUUUCUAAAACUUGUAUCUUUGAGCUGAAAUUUGGUAUGGUGGCUGGAAAUGACAACUGAGUAUGAAAUAUCAAAUUGGAUAUCACACUCCAAACCAGGCUCGGGCUAUCUCAAGUCUGCACUGGUUUCCUAGUAUAUGAGGAUGAUUAUGAAGAUUGUGGAAAAUUGAGACAAGUACGAGACUCGAAAUCCACGAUGCUGCUGGAUAAUUGGAAGUUUUCCUGUGAUCCCCUACAACGUCUAAGAUUAGCGAAACGUGCCGGAUAUGGUGGCAUUAUUGGGUACAAUGUCCCCGCCGGGUACAAAACACCGCCAGGUGUAUCGGUCGCAUUAACCUUGAUUGGGGAAAGUGACGCAAAUAUUUUGAAGAAGUAUUCCUACCCUGAUCCGUCAGAUUUUAUGUUUCUUCUAAACCUGUGACAUAUGUAAGAGGACGAUACUGGUUUGUGCCGGAUUGCAGUGUCCAACAACUCUUGAUUUACGUGGUUAUAACUUUCUUCACUGUGUUCUGCUGGGGAAUUAUUUGAGGGGAAAAAAUUGAGUACUUCCGAUAGAAACUUUGACACGUUGUUACUAGAAGGUGGUUCAUUGACUUAGCCAAUUCCUUGUUCCGGUCGCGAAUAUAGGAUUCAGGAUAAUUUUAGGCUGUGAACACAUUUACAAAUAUUGGCAGAUUUCCUAUCCAAUCAGGAGAUCCAGUCAGCUUAACUCUUCUACAUUAUUGUGUGUAAGCUAUUUUUAUAAUUAAGUUAUUACACUAUAUUGAAUCUGGUUAAUUUCCAUUUUAUGUAAAUAUUUAUUUAUGUAUGUCAUUUAUAAUUUUCUUACUUGUAGAUUACAAGCUGUAAUUGUAUCAAAUAAAUAACGUUUAGAUCAAUA